rnacentral:lncRNA from 1 species
GUCAACAGGUUGUUACCUGUAUCAACACUAGAAGGUUCAGUCAACAGGUUGUUACCUGUAUCAACACUAGAAGGUUCGGUCUCAGUCAACAGGUUGUUACCUGUAUCAACACUAGAAGGUUUGGUCUCAGUCAAUAGGUUGUUACCUGUAUCAACACUAGAAGGUUUGGUCUCAGUCAAUAGGUUGUUACCUGUAUCAACACUAGAAGGUUUGGUCUCAGUCAAUAGGUUGUUACCUGUAUCAACACUAGAAGGUUCAGUCAACAGGUUGUUACCUGUAUCAACAUUAGAAGGUUCAGUCAACAGGUUGUUACCUGUAUCAACACUAGAAGGUUUGGUCAAUAGGUUGUUACCUGUAUCAACACUAGAAGGUUUGGUCAAUAGGUUGUUACCUGUAUCAACACUAGAAGGUUUGGUCUCAGUCAACAGGUUGUUACCUGUAUCAACACUAGAAGGUUUGGUCAAUAGGUUGUUACCUGUAUCAACACUAGAAGGUUUGGUCUCAGUCAACAGGUUGUUACCUGUAUCAACACUAGAAGGUUUGGUCUCAGUCAAUAGGUUGUUACCUGUAUCAACACUAGAAGGUUUGGUCUCAGUCAAUAGGUUGUUACCUGUAUCAACACUAGAAGGUUCAGUCAACAGGUUGUUACCUGUAUCAACACUAGAAGGUUCAGUCAACAGGUUGUUACCUGUAUCAACACUAGAAGGUUUGGUCAAUAGGUUGUUACCUGUAUCAACACUAGAAGGUUUGGUCUCAGUCAACAGGUUGUUACCUGUAUCAACACUAGAAGGUUCAGUCAACAGGUUGUUACCUGUAUCAACAUUAGAAGGUUCAGUCAACAGGUUGUUACCUGUAUCAACACUAGAAGGUUUGGUCUCAGUCAAUAGGUUGUUACCUGUAUCAACACUAGAAGGUUCAGUCAACAGGUUGUUACCUGUAUCAACACUAGAAGGUUCAGUCAACAGGUUGUUACCUGUAUCAACACUAGAAGGUUCAGUCAAUAGGUUGUUACCUGUAUCAACACUAGAAGGUUCAGUCAACAGGUUGUUACCUGUAUCAACACUAGAAGGUUCGGUCAACAGGUUGUUACCUGUAUCAACACUAGAAGGUUUGGUCUCAGUCAAUAGGUUGUUACCUGUAUCAACACUAGAAGGUUCAGUCAACAGGUUGUUACCUGUAUCAACACUAGAAGGUUCAGUCAACAGGUUGUUACCUGUAUCAACACUAGAAGGUUCAGUCAACAGGUUGUUACCUGUAUCAACACUAGAAGGUUUGGUCUCAGUCAACAGGUUGUUACCUGUAUCAACACUAGAAGGUUCAGUCAAUAGGUUGUUACCUGUAUCAACACUAGAAGGUUCAGUCAAUAGGUUGUUACCUGUAUCAACACUAGAAGGUUUGGUCUCAGUCAAUAGGUUGUUACCUGUAUCAACACUAGAAGGUUUGGUCUCAGUCAACAGGUUGUUACCUGUAUCAACACUAGAAGGUUCAGUCAACAGGUUGUUACCUGUAUCAACAUUAGAAGGUUCAGUCAACAGGUUGUUACCUGUAUCAACACUAGAAGGUUCAGUCAACAGGUUGUUACCUGUAUCAACACUAGAAGGUUUGGUCUCAGUCAAUAGGUUGUUACCUGUAUCAACACUAGAAGGUUUGGUCUCAGUCAACAGGUUGUUACCUGUAUCAACACUAGAAGGUUCAGUCAACAGGUUGUUACCUGUAUCAACAUUAGAAGGUUCAGUCAACAGGUUGUUACCUGUAUCAACACUAGAAGGUUUGGUCUCAGUCAACAGGUUGUUACCUGUAUCAACACUAGAAGGUUCAGUCAACAGGUUGUUACCUGUAUCAACAUUAGAAGGUUCAGUCAACAGGUUGUUACCUGUAUCAACACUAGAAGGUUCAGUCAACAGGUUGUUACCUGUAUCAACACUAGAAGGUUCAGUCAACAGGUUGUUACCUGUAUCAACACUAGAAGGUUCAGUCAACAGGUUGUUACCUGUAUCAACACUAGAAGGUUCAGUCAACAGGUUGUUACCUGUAUCAACAUUAGAAGGUUCAGUCAACAGGUUGUUACCUGUAUCAACACUAGAAGGUUCAGUCAACAGGUUGUUACCUGUAUCAACACUAGAAGGUUCGGUCAACAGGUUGUUACCUGUAUCAACACUAGAAGGUUUGGUCUCAGUCAACAGGUUGUUACCUGUAUCAACACUAGAAGGUUUGGUCUCAGUCAACAGGUUGUUACCUGUAUCAACACUAGAAGGUUUGGUCUCAGUCAACAGGUUGUUACCUGUAUCAACACUAGAAGGUUCAGUCAACAGGUUGUUACCUGUAUCAACACUAGAAGGUUCAGUCAACAGGUUGUUACCUGUAUCAACACUAGAAGGUUCAGUCAAUAGGUUGUUACCUGUAUCAACACUAGAAGGUUCAGUCAAUAGGUUGUUACCUGUAUCAACACUAGAAGGUUCAGUCAACAGGUUGUUACCUGUAUCAACACUAGAAGGUUUGGUCUCAGUGAAGUGCACCAGGUUACUGGGUCUCAUGAUGGCGAUGCAGCGUGCCGUGAUCACCAGUCGCUGGAACAACUCCGGGUCCAGGUCUCUGCUGUCACGACUACAGCUGUUCAGACACUGCACCGCGUUGCUCAACAGGGACUGGUCCUUGGGGAGAGACAUGUCACGGGAGAGAGAGGUGAGUGGGAGUUACCUUGUGGUUGUGGCUGGCCGUACGGCUGGUGUGUACGGUUAG